AUUCAAUGUCAAUUUCUGCUUUUUAGGUUAUUUAUGUAUAUUUUGAACACUUUCUAGAAAUAAAUAUUUCAUAAUCAUAACACACUUUUCGCAUUCCAUUUGUUAAGGAGGUGUUAGACGAAUGUAUUAAUGAACAUAUUUCGGACACUUUUUAAUAGUUUAAGUAGUAAAACAGUAGCAUACACAACGAGAAGAAUGAGUGUGAAUUCUUUGUAUUAUUCCCAUGAACAGCUUACAAAUUUUAUUGAACUUGCAAAAAAUGAAGAUGAAGGUGUACUUGAGUAUUUAAAACAUGUUCAACGUGUUCCUAUACAAGACUUUACUCCAGGAUUGGAAUGGUUCAAUACAUCAGAGCCUCUUUCUAUGAAGAAACACCUCCAAGGAAAAAUUGUUAUUUUAGAUUUUUUUACGUAUUGCUGUAUAAAUUGUAUGCAUAUUCUUCCUGAUUUGAGAGAACUUGAAAACAAAUUUUCAAUAGAAGAUGGUUUAGUUGUGGUCGGUGUCCAUAGUGCCAAAUUCGAGAAUGAAAAAAUAUCUUCCAACAUAUUAGCGGCAGUCCAACGAUACAACAUAUCUCACCCCGUGGUUAAUGACUCUAACUCAGAUAUGUGGAAAAACUGUGGUAUACAUUGUUGGCCUACCUUACUUGUCGUAGGCCCUACUGGAAACCCUAUAGUGAUGCUGACCGGAGAGGGACAUAAGGACAAUCUUAUACUCUAUAUUAAGAACGCGUUGAAGUUUUAUAAGGAAAAAAACUUGAUCUCCAAUCACAAACUACCAAUUAAGUCUGCCUACCACUUAUUACCUGAUCUGAAAGGACCAUUGUUAUUUCCAGGGAAAAUUACUAACAUCCUAGAUGAAAACAACCAUGAAAUUUUGGCUGUUUCGGACACAGGCAAUAAUCGAAUAUUAAUUUUAAAGGAAGACGGUACCAUUAUUCAACAAAUAGGUGGAAAUAAAUUAGGGUUUAAAGAUGGUAGUCUAGAAGAUGCUGAAUUUAAUAAUCCGCAAGGAUUGACCUUCCAAAAUAGAGAUAUACUGUUUGUUGCGGAUACUGAAAACCAUGCAAUUAGGAAAGUAGAUUUGAAAAACAAAAAAGUUGAAACUGUUGCAGGUAUCGGUAAACAAGGUGACGACAUGGUUGGAGGUAACAAGGGACUAGAACAAGCCAUAUCAUCUCCAUGGGAUGUAUCUAUCUAUAGAAAACAGGAUGUAGAUCCUGUUGGUAAUCCGAUCAUUCGAGAAGUACUUAUUAUCGCAAUGGCUGGAACCCACCAAAUUUGGGCUUUGUUUUUGGAAGAUACAGUAUGGUGGAAGUCAAAAAAAUAUACAUCCGGUACUUGCGUUAAUAUUGUCGGUUCCGGUAGAGAAGAAAAUAGAAACAACAGUUAUCCUCAUAACGCGGCUUUCGCGCAACCAUCUGGAUUAGCCUUAUGCCAAAAUAAUAAAGAAAUUUAUAUUGCUGAUAGUGAAAGCUCUAGCAUUAGAAGGAUAUCUCUAGUCGAUGGAAAAGUCACUCCUGUUGUUGGAGGAGAGAGAGACCCAAGCAAUUUGUUUGCAUUUGGUGAUAAAGAUGGUACUCUAUUUGAUGCCAAACUUCAACACGCGUUAGGAGUAGGAAUAACCAGUGAUGAGAAAACCCUGUUCGUAACUGACACCUACAAUCACAAAGUGAAGAAAGUCAACGUUGCCGAUAAUUCCGUGUCUUCUAUUACUUUACCAACUGCAGACGCCACAGAUGGUACUAGUAGCACAUUUAAAGAACCUGCUGGAGUGUGCAUUAGUUCCGAUAAUAAUAAGCUGUAUGUGGCAGACACCAACAAUCAUCAGAUCAAAGUCCUGCAUUUAAAUAACCAGCAAAAUGUUACCAAAGUGGAAAAAUUAGAAUUGAAAAAGAUAGAGAAUAAUAAGGCUGAAGUUGACAAAUCUAGCUACGAGAUUUUGUCAAGAAAACCUAUAUCAAUUAAUUCAAAUGGUGGAAAAAUUAUUCUUACAGUAAAUUUUAAGUUUGAUAAGGGAUUAGGGCUUACCGAAGGUGCUCCGCAGACAUGGUUGGUGGAUUUGCCAGACAUAACGUGGUCCUCUAUACCCAAGAAUGGAUCAAACCUUGAGUUGGUAGAAACUACAAUUAGUGUACCUACUAAUGGUAUCAAGCAAAACCAAAACAUAGACUUUUUAUUUAAUCUUGUUACUUGUACAGACGACACGUGUCUUCCUAAAAGCUUUAUUGUGAGAGUACCGAUUGUAUAUCAAAACAGCGAGAGCAAAGUUACUGAAAAUAUUUCCGUUCUUAUUAAGCCCGAAAAUAUUCUUCUACUAUAGAACAAUAUAGAAUUCUAUAUCUUUUUGGGUAUAGAAUUUAACAAUGUUUGCUUUGGAUUUGUCGCUAGGUAAACAUCCCAUCCCAGUUCUCUUACUAAUAGCCCGAUCAAAGAACAAUCUGACCCCAAAAAAAUAGAGGAAGGAUGAAAAUUUGGGAAUAGGUAGGUGAAAUUGUAUAUUAUUAUAUAAAAGUUUACAAUUCUACAUCCCCUCCAUUUUACAAAAAUGUAGGGGAAUUACCCCCCUCUCGAAGGUGAAAAAUAUACAUUCAAAAUAAGUCCGGAAUUGGAUAAAAUGACUAAUUCUAAGCAACUUUUGUUCUAUGGAGUUUUUUCCCUAAGUCAAUACUUUUCGAGUUAUUUGGAAGUGAAGAUGUUCAUUUUUAACAGAAAAAACAUGUUUUUGGGCGGUUUUUCGGAGGUAACUCAAAAAGUAAGUAUUUCAAUGUGAAAUAACCCAAAAACGGAGCACUUUUCGGGGAAAAUUCAUGUCAACUUUUUUAAUGUGUUUAAAAAAGGGUUUAUUUUUGUUUUUUAAAAAAACUUGUAACAUUAAAAGUAAGUGGGUUACGCUCAAAAUAUUGUUGGUCCCUUUUAUUUUUUGGUAAAAGAAAUCGCCAAAAUCACCCCCCUAAUUAGUAUCACAAAUAAAUUUUAUCAUUACCACUUCACAAGUUACUUUGCUUAUGUGUUAUUUAUAUGAUCUGUAAGUUUCAUCGGUUCAAAGUGCUUAUUUUUGAAAAAGCUGUAGUUAAAAUGGCUUGAACGAGUAACUAAUCACGAGUUUAGGCCAAAUUUAAACAGCCAUAGCAUAACCAAUUUUUGUCUAACAAGAAAACAAAAAAGCAAAAGUAUUCAGAAAAGCAAAACGUACAUUUUAUUACUCUUUAAGAUUUUUGUUAUUACUAAUAAUUUUUAAGUUAAUUCCAUGAACAAUUCCAUUUUUUUUUUCAAAAUUAAAAAAAUGUUUUAUUUUAAACCCAAUUUUUUUCAAAAAUGAAACUUAUAGAUAAUAUAAACAAUACAUAAAUAAAGUAAAUUGUGAAGCGGUAACGAUAAAUUUUAUUUGGGAAGCUAAUUAGGGGGUGAUUUUCGAGAUUUUUGGGGGACCAAAAAAUAAAAGGGACCACAAUAUUUUGAGCGUAAUUCACUUAUUUUUAAUGUCAGAAGUUUUUUAAAAAAAACAGAAAUAAACCUUUUUUAAACACUUUAAAAAAGUUUUAAUGAAUUUUCCCUGAAAAGUGCUCUGUUUUUUGUUUAUUUCACAUUGAAAUAUUCGAGUUGGAAUUUGACGAAGAAGAACCUACUUUUCAUUAGCUACAACUCUGCUUCUACUGGGUCUGCAGACCUCAUGCGUACACCAUUUUUUUUUUAAUUGUUUAUAAGCUAUAUUUUUACUAAGAAUAUUAUUUUCGCUGAAAUACUUAAUUUUUGAGUUACGUCCGAAAAACCGUCCAAAAACAUGUUUUUUUUUUUGUUAAAAAUGAACAUAUUCACUCGCAAAUAACUCGAAAAGUAUUGACUUAGUGAAAAAACUCUAUAGAACAAAAGUUGCUUAGAAUUAGUCAUUUUAUCCAAUUCUGGGCCUAUUUUGAACGUAUAUUUUUUCACUCCCGAGAAAAUAUUUUUCACCCCGUAUUUCCCAAUUUUUGUAAAAUGGAGGGGAUGUAGAAUUGUAAACUUUUUCUUAUAUAAUAAUAGACAAUUUCAACUACCUAUUCCCAAAUUUUCAUCCUUCUUUUAUUUUUUUGGAGGUUUUCGUAAAAUUUUGUGUUCCCUGAUUGGGCUAUAACUAAAGUUUAAUAAACAACUGUAAAACAUGAUAUUUUAGAUUUCAAACGGUAAUAUGUUAAAACUUCAUCGAAUCCCACUUACGUAGUACAGAUUCAACAAGAAAAUAUUUGUGUCCAAUGUAAAUGAGUGUCUGGACAGCUCCACAUACUGUCUUGGCUUUUCUAUUGUCUCGUUGCAAAAACGUUAUGACAUGUUCAGGUUGUCUAAAUUCGUCUAUACCUAGUUUUGCUAUUUUCUUUUUCACCACUUUUUCUAUAAUGUUAAGCCUAGAAAAAAUAAUUAAUAGGAGGGUACUACAGGCGAAUGGCACUAAGUUUGUAUGGCGAGAUUAUUCGGGGUUUGUACCAUAAUCGUGAACUAAAUUACUAAGGAAGUGAACUUAGAACACAUAUACUAUGUGACUACUCAAAGGCACCGUUGCUCGGUCCUGGUAGAUUAUGGACGGUGUCGUUGAUAGAGGUGAGAAAUACAAGAAGCAAGAUGGAUACAAAACAACAACAGGAAAGAGAACAACUCGACAAAAUAUUUGAAUCCCAAAAAAAGAUAAAUGGGAUAUUCAUAAAACAAAGAGAAACAAUCCACAAAGAAGAAUUUCCUGUAGCUGGCUGUAUACCUUUAAUGAACUUAGAACACAUAUACUAUGUGACUCAAAGGCACUGUUGCUUGGUCCUGGUAGAUUAUGGACGGUGUCGUUGAUAGAGGUGAGAAAUACAAGAGGAAAGAUGGAUACAAAACAACAAAAAGGAACAGGAAAGAGAACAACUCAACAAAAUAUUUGAAUCCCACAAAAAGAUAAAUGGGAUAUUCAUAAAACAAAGAGAAACAAUCCACAAAGAAGAAUUUCCUGUAGCUGGCUGUAUACCAUUAAUGAACUUAGAACACAUAUACUAUGUGACUCAAAGGCACUGUUGCUUGGUCCUGGUAGAUUAUGGACGGUGUCGUUGAUAGAGGUGAGAAAUACAAGAAGAAAGAUGGAUACAAAACAACAAAAAAAGAACAGGAAAGAGAACAACGUUAUAGUCGGAAUACAACUGAAACCGGUUAUACCAGUUCUUAGAAACCAACAAAAAAAAGGUACAAAGUAAUUAAACGUACUAGACUACUGUCAGAAGAAGAACAAAGUAAAUAUGAAAGACUAGUCACUAGAAAACUGGAAAAUAUUACAGAAAAUGUAAACAUCGAACAAAAAUGGACCCAAAUUAAAGUAUCAAAGCAGCGCAAGCCAGUAAUAGAAAUAUAAAAGAUGGAUAUAAAAUACAAAGAAUGGUUUGAUCAGUGGCGGCUGGUCCUGUGAGGCAGUGUCUCACCAGUAUAUCAAUCCACUAUUUACGGUAUUUCUUUAUCCCAUCUUCAAUUCAUUAAAUACAAUUUAACUUUUUGAAAUUUGUUAAAUACCUUUAUUUUUAUUAUAAAAAAUAAAAAUAGGUGCGGCCCUGAUCUCUGUAGUCCACGUGCGAGCAUCUCAUUUUAACUUUCUCAAAUAAUGGUUACAGGAGAGGCAUGCCUGGGCCAGCCUCUCAUCGGGUCUAUAUCUAGCUUACGGUUUCGUAAAAGGGAAGCAGCAACAAAAUUCAACCUCUGAGAACAAUUUCGAACGCUGAUUCAAAUAUGCAUGCCUCAGUAGUGUAAAAUACGAUAUAUGUAAGCGUAUAGGGUCGAACUGCACCGAUCUGUUUAAUGGACAAAAAUUAAUUGGAUAUGUAAUUUAGUAUGUUAACAAUUAUUACAAAAAGCAAAAAAGCAAGAGGUGUCCGAUCUAAUUUUCUUCUGACUAUAAUUAAUAAUAAUUAUUUAAUUAUUAAAAAAUUACUUUUUCUAUAAAUUAAAAAACAUUUCGGCCCAGGCAGAUAUUAUUUUAGAUUUUUUGGAUCAUUCUAAACAAAAACUUCGUCUUUUGUAAUUUUUCUCUUAAGUUGAUCGUUUUCGAGUUAAUAAUUUAAAACCGAAAAAAGAUCGAAAAAUGACGAUUUUCAACGCUCGAAAACAAGAAAAAAUAUCAUUUUUGAAAAUACAAAGUACCUAAAUUCAAGUUCAAACAUUAGUCUAUUACUUUGUAUAUACACCUAAAAAAGUUGUCAAAUUAUAUACACAUGAAAAAGUUUGCAACAGAUUAACUGUGUGUUGAAAAUAAAAGAAACAAGCAAUCAAAUGAGAAAAUUUAGUAAAAUACGUACAAAGAACACAAUAUUUAUUGUUUGGGUAAUCUACUUCGAUUUAUACAUGUUUAACAUGUUAAAUAUCAUCAAAUAUUCUCUCUAUAGCCUUUCCUCCUUAUGAAGAUUGGGUACUAUUGCGUUUCUUAGCCAAAAGUGAAAGGUGGUUGAUUGGUUGGAUCCGUGCAAACAUCAAAUAUUAAUUAAUAUUUGAUGAUAAUCUAAGCAUUAAUCUUCUUCAGCUCACUAUUGCCCGAGUUAUUCACGUGAUCGAUCAUAGGUUUAGAAAUAUUUAUAAGGCUACUUUUGUUAAACCAACUAUGCUAAAAUUUUUCAAUUUGGAAGAGUGAUAUCAUCGUUUAAAUGAGGCAUAUCCUCAAAUUUAAAUGUGCAGGGCGGUCCUCGGAAACUACCUGUUUAAUUUGCGUUUUCUCAUAAAUCACAGAAUGUAUAAUUACUAAAUUUAUUUGUGUUUCUCUAUAGCAGAAUAAUUGGUCUGCUAUGGUCAUAAAAAACUUUAAUUUUGUCGACCCAGGGAUUAUUACCGUCAUAAAAAUAUCAAAAAACAUGUUUUUCAAGAGCUGAGAUCCUGAUUUAUCAAGCUGAGAUCCUUGCUGUGCUGCAGUGAUCUCAGUUUGGUAACAAAGAUGCGGAUAGUGAGGUGCUACGUUCUUCCAGUGCUACUGUAUGGAAUUGAAGCCUGGACACUGACGCAAGCCACUGAAAAGCGGAUUGAAGCCUUCGAGAUGUGGAUCUACUGGAGGAUACUAAAAAUAUCUUAUGUGGACCAUGUCACCAACAUUAAGGUCCUACAGCGCAUGACAAAAGAAAAAGAAGUGUUAAUUUAGUAAAACAACGUAAGCUUGAGUACCUUGGCCACGUGAUGUGGAACGAAGAAAAAUAUCGAGUUCUUCAACUCGUCAUGCAGGGCAAUGUAUUUGGCAGGAGAGGACCGGGACGCCGUCGUAUCUCGUGGUUGAAAAACCUCCGACAAUGGUUUGGGAUAACCUCCGCGGAGCUGUUUCGCAGAGCAGUCAACAAAAAAAUGAUAGCCUUGAUGAUCGCCAACAUCCGGACGGGAUAAGGCACUGAAGAAGACUCAAUUCAGUACAAGGAUCAGAUACAUCAGUAUUUUGCAAUCAUUAUUUAUACUCAGUACCACUGAGAACCGCUAUCAAAAGUAACCGUUACAUGUCCGCACUGAUUUUGCUCGUCUCUAUUCGCUACGUCGAUAUCCAACGGUUGGGUUGGGUUGUGUUCAAUAUGCGAUGCGCUAGAAAAAUAAAUGCACGGGUCACUCGACACGCCGGCGCAGGUUGUGUCUCGCUUAGGUUCAAUUUGCGCCGGGCCUUAAUGGCGGCACCGCACUUCGCUAUGUGGUAUUUCUUAUGCGUCUUAUUCGGCCGCAUAGGACGAAGUGUGGAGGGUUCAUUCGUCAAUAUUCGCUUAAUGCGCACGCAUAGUAGCAAAUACGCAUCAAUCCACUUGUCGGUUUCUACGCACUUCAAAGAACAAAUAUUUGGGCGCAUACAGCGUAGCCGCAUAACAAUUAGCACAUACCAAAGUGUGGUGUCGGCAUUACACACAGUAUGCCAGAAAAAGGAGAGCCAGUAAAGUACCUUAAAUGAAUCGUAUAAGUAUUGUGUUAAAAAUAAUUAAUUUACUUCUUUACAAUAAGUCUUUAAAAAACACACAUCUAGCGACCAAUCCCGGGUUAAACUUAUUUUAAAUAAUGACGUUUGUACAGGUUGCCCUUGUUUUUAUAUUUUGAUAAAUUUACAAUAAGCCUAUACAAGUUUUUUAUCAAGUUUAUUAAAAGAAAAACUAAUUUUAAUGUCUGAUGGCAACAAAGUUCUUUUAAAAAUAAAAAUUUAAAAUAAUUUCUGAAAAUUAAAAAAGAACAUGUAAAUAAGUAAAACAUGAUUGUACUCCUUUCAUUUUAAGCUUAUUAAAAUAAUAAUUCAGUUAAAUAUAUUCCAUUAAACUGUAAUAAAUAAUUUAAUUCUUAAAAACAAAAAAACAAAAGAUGUAGAUCUUUGAAACAGACUCAGUGAUCAAAAGAUCCAAAGUUACUCUCAUACGAAAUCAAACAAAUGAAAUAGAGAAUGUGGAAAAAUCCCCUUACGAAUAAUUAAAUUAAUUAAUUAACUUAAUUCUUAUAAAAAUAAAAAAGAUAGUAAAGUUUGUUAGUCAUUCGAUAUUAUAUAUUUACAAUGUAUUUUUAUUUUUUUUUACAAUUAAACUGUUUUUUACGAUGUAAAAAUUGA
rnacentral:misc_RNA from 1 species